GGGAGCCGAGGCGGGGCUGGGGAGUGGCUGAGGAUCUCGGGCCCGCACACCCUCGGGGCUCGUCUGAGGGCUGCUGUCGGCGGAGAUUUCACUCCCGCUGCUAUUAGCUGGGAUGAGUGAAAGCAAACAGGCCGGCUCCGGAGAACUUGUGGGGAGUUGAAGGCUUUCCUGCCCUCGUUUCCCGGCCGGGCAGUGGCAGCCAGCCCUGCGCUGCUCCUCGGGGGUUUAUGGCCGUAGUUCCGGAUGGGGCCUCUUGUCUGGAGGCUGGAAACCAGCUUCUAAUUUCCAUCUAAAUCAAUAGAUGCUUUUAGAUUCUCCUUUGCAAGUUUUUUCUGAAGAACUGCACAGGCAUCAAGAUCACAGGCCCAAACUGCUUCCACCAUGGCUUACUUCUUAGAACCUGCUGUUCUCUGGUCCUGUGGUAAUGCCUUCAAGUAGGGAAAUUUACUUAAAAUCUUUUGGAUUUGUGCACAUCAGAGUUCCAGAAUUGAGAAUGCCUGAUUUCUCCAGAUGGAAAACAGCAGGCAUCCUGUCUUUACCCCAUGGAUUAUCAUCUUCAUCCUUACUGAAAAUCAGGUCCUGGCUUAUGACAGACUGAGGCAAACCUGAUGGUGCUUCUGGGGUGAGUCAGGACACCAAACCAGGACCUGCAGGUUUGCUGUGUGACCUACAGCUGAGCUGGGAGGUUAUCAGUAACCCAAAGCUACUGGGGAUGCUGACCAGCCCUGGAAAGUUUGGUCGGUAUAGCCACAUCAAACCGUUUGAACUGAUCUCCUAAGAAAACCAAAAGCUGAAAGAUGAGUUUCAUCCUGGCUUGCACUAACAAGUAUCUCUGCACAUAACUGAUUAGCCACGAUCCAUACACCUCUGGGUGCCUCUCCUUGGCUACUUCCAUGCACAUCUGAGGAUGCUGGUGUUACAGAGAUCCAGAGCUUUUGCUGCUUCACGCCCUCGUUUUCUUUGCACUGUCAUUGUGGGGAAGGGGAGGGGCCGGCUGACGCAAUUCUCAUUUCCUGGUGUUUUCGGCUCUGUGUCUCUACAACCUAUUUUUAAACGUGCAGGAGAGGAAUAAAUAUGGAGAGCUAUGUAAAUAACAGUCAAUUUCUGGAACACCCAGACUUCAACAAUGUUUUUUUUGUCAGUUGUCUGGUUUUGAUUGCAAACUGAUUUCUAGCUGAUAUCUUCCAAUACCCAGAACUUCCAAGUUACACCAGUUUUUAUUUUCCCCUAAAGUUGGUUAUGUUCGCAAAUAAAGUUGCAGUGGCUUAUGCAUUCAACAUAAGGCUAGAUGAAAUUGUAUUUUUUUGCAAUAGCUUCCUAAACCAACACUCUAUGUAGCUGGACUAAGAAGAACAUGUGAUUUUGUCUUGUUUCUCUAAGGAAAUUAAUUUAUUCAUGAAAGCAUGAGUCACCAUGCAGGAUUCCAAGCCAAACCCAUUCCCUUGAUGCAGCUCUGGAAUCUUACUCAUUUACUUAGGAACUGCAGGAAAUGGGAUGCUCUGGUAAAUGGCAUGCAUUUAACUACAUGAGACUGUUUCCCUUUUGGAUGGAGACACUUUCCUAGCAUUUCAGAAAACCUCAUAUAUCUGAUUGAUGCUCUGUGUGACAGCAGAUUAUGCAUUCUCUCCCAACCAAAAAACACAGUGUCCAGACUUUUAUUUCUGUGAAUCAGAAUUCCAAGUUACAUUGCUGGAAAGUCAGCAUCCUAUGAGGAAGAUGUUGCUGGACCAUACCAACCACUGCAGAAAGCUGAGUACUUCUCAACACAGGCAUUCUGAGGGAACCUACAGAUGACUAUAUAAUAAAUUAUUAUCCCCUCCAUGGAGGAAGAAGAUGAAGUUUAACUUGCAGUUCAACAAAUGCAGCAAUAGAAUGGAGACAGGCAACCAGGUGCUUUCAUUUCGGUUGCCACACUUGUGCCAUCCCUGAGGCUCCUUAAAGAGCUGCAGCUGGGCUAGCUGAGCCUAAGGGUUGUAGUCCUGAGGGGUGAUUUGGGCUUGUGUUGCAGACCUCAACUCUUCUGCUCUUCCCAGAGAGGAAAAAUAACUUCACUGUUUCUGAACAAGCUAUUCUUCUAAAUAUUUGGGUUUGUGGUGGUUGUUGGCAGCUCUGCAGGUGGCUACAGAGCCCUUGGCAAAAGACAUGACUGUGACACUCAGGUUCUGUCCUGAGAGGUUACCAGGCAGAGUUUUAAAUGCCAUUUAUAUCCUGUGUGCUUCCAGCAGAGCCCUGUUGUCAUAUGUAUGUUCAAAGCGUGCUGUGUCAGGAAGAGAAGAGAGAUUUCUUAACUUUUCCAGAAAAUAGUUGCUUUGUGUUCUUCAUUUCUUUCCACAACUUUUUAAUUUUAAGCACCUGUGUUUCUUAAUUGAAACAUGGUAUGUUGCACCAUUAUUCAGUACCAAGGAUCUGAGUUAUGGCAGUGAUUCCAAAGAAAAAUGAAGGUGAGGAGAGAAAGGUGCAGCCUCAAUUGCUAUUGUAGUUGUAGUGAGAUCAUUAAUACACUUCAGGCAGGCACCAAGAUGAACAUCUUGUUGGGAGCACAGCUUUGCAGCACAGGCAUUGUAAAGGCACACAGCAGAAAGAGCUCAUCAGCUAAAGAGGCAGAAUGAACCAGGGGAGUGAGAGUGGAAGCAGAAUAAUUGCCAAAUAUGGUUCUUGACUUGGCAUGCUGUGUUUUCCAAGAAUGUUACCAACCCUUAUCUCCAUCAAUUAAUUCAGGGUUUUUAUU